GAUGAACGCUGGCGGCGUGCCUAAUACAUGCAAGUCGAGCGAACGGACGAGAAGCUUGCUUUUCUGAUGUUAGCGGCGGACGGGUGAGUAGCACGUGGAUAACCUACCUAUAAGACUGGGAUAACUUCGGGAAACCGGAGCUAAUACCGGAUAAUAUUUUGAACCGCAUGGUUCAAAAGUGAAAGACGGUCUUGCUGUCACUUAUAGAUGGAUCCGCGCUGCAUUAGCUAGUUGGUAAGGUAACGGCUUACCAAGGCAACGAUGCAUAGCCGACCUGAGAGGGGGAUCGGGCACACUGGAACUGGGACACGGUCCAGACCCCUACGGGAGGCCGCAGUAGGGAAUCUUCCGCAAGGGGCGAAAGCCUGAAGGAGAAACGCCGGGUGAGUGAUGAAGGGCUUCGGAUCGUAAAACUCUGUUAUUAGGAAAAAACAUAUGUGUAAGUAACUGUCAAAAUCUUGACGGUACCUAAUCAGAAAGCCACGGCUAACCACGG
rnacentral:rRNA from 1 species